rnacentral:tRNA from 1 species
GCGGGAAUAGCUCAGCUGGUUAGAGCGAUGGCCUUCCAAGCCGUAGGUCGCGGGUUCGAAUCCCGUUUCCCGCUCCA